GGCGCCAUGGCAGAGUGGUGAUGCAGAGGCCUGCAAAGCCUUGUACUCCGGUUCAAUUCCGGAUGGCGCCUCCA
rnacentral:tRNA from 1 species